rnacentral:rRNA from 1 species
GAUGAACGCUGGCGGCGUGCCUAAUACAUGCAAGUCGAGCGAACGGACGAGAAGCUUGCUUCUCUGAUGUUAGCGGCGGACGGGUGAGUAACACGUGGAUAACCUACCUAUAAGACUGGGAUAACUUCGGGAAACCGUAGCUAAUACCGGAUAAUAUUUUGAACCGCAUGGUUCAAAAGUGAAAGACGGUCUUGCUGUCACUUAUAGAUGGAUCCGCGCUGCAUUAGAUAGUUGGUAAGGUAACGGCUUACCAAGGCAACGAUGCAUAGCCGACCUGAGAGGGUGAUCGGCCACACUGGAACUGAGACACGGUCCAGACUCCUACGGGGGGCAGCAGUAGGGAAUCUUCCGCAAUGGGCGAAAGCCUGACGGAGCAACGCCGCGUGAGUGAUGAAGGUCUUCGGAUCGUAAAACUCUGUUAUUAGGGAAGAGCAUAUGUGUAAGUAACUGUGCACAUCUUGACGGUACCUAAUCAGAAAGCCACGGCUAACUACGUG